CUGCUGCCUCCCGUAGGAGUCUGGGCCGUAUCUCAGUCCCAAUGUGGCCGGCCAACCUCUCAGUCCGGCUACUGAUCGUCGCCUUGGUAGGCCGUUACCCUACCAACUAGCUAAUCAGACGCGAGUCCAUCUCUCAGCGAUAAAUCUUUGGUAUCCAUACCAUGCGAUACAGAUACGUUAUGCGGUAUUAGCAGUCGUUUCCAACUGUUGUCCCCCUCUGAAAGGCAGGUUACUCACGCGUUACUCACCCG
rnacentral:rRNA from 1 species